rnacentral:rRNA from 1 species
CAAGGCAACCUUAGAGUUUGGAUCCUGCUCAGGACGAACGCUGGCGGCGUGCCUAAUACAUGCAAGUCGAGCGGACAGAUGGGAGCUUGCUCCCUGAUGUUAGCGGCGGACGGGUGAGUAACACGUGGGUAACCUGCCUGUAAGACUGGGAUAACUCCGGGAAACCGGGGCUAAUACCGGAUGGUUGUUUGAACCGCAUGGUUCAGACAUAAAAGGUGGCUUCGGCUACCACUUACAGAUGGACCCGCGGCGCAUUAGCUAGUUGGUGAGGUAACGGCUCACCAAGGCGACGAUGCGUAGCCGACCUGAGAGGGUGAUCGGCCACACUGGGACUGAGACACGGCCCAGACUCCUACGGGAGGCAGCAGUAGGGAAUCUUCCGCAAUGGACGAAAGUCUGACGGAGCAACGCCGCGUGAGUGAUGAAGGUUUUCGGAUCGUAAAGCUCUGUUGUUAGGGAAGAACAAGUGCCGUUCAAAUAGGGCGGCACCUUGACGGUACCUAACCAGAAAGCCACGGCUAACUACGUGCCAGCAGCCGCGGUAAUACGUAGGUGGCAAGCGUUGUCCGGAAUUAUUGGGCGUAAAGGGCUCGCAGGCGGUUUCUUAAGUCUGAUGUGAAAGCCCCCGGCUCAACCGGGGAGGGUCAUUGGAAACUGGGGAACUUGAGUGCAGAAGAGGAGAGUGGAAUUCCACGUGUAGCGGUGAAAUGCGUAGAGAUGUGGAGGAACACCAGUGGCGAAGGCGACUCUCUGGUCUGUAACUGACGCUGAGGAGCGAAAGCGUGGGGAGCGAACAGGAUUAGAUACCCUGGUAGUCCACGCCGUAAACGAUGAGUGCUAAGUGUUAGGGGGUUUCCGCCCCUUAGUGCUGCAGCUAACGCAUUAAGCACUCCGCCUGGGNUANGCCGGCC